CCCAUCGACCACAUAUGUCGAUGAAACCCUAAUUGGUUGGGAGGCAAGCCUUCGUGUUCUUCGUUUCGUUCAGAUCGGCGACGUUCCAGUUUCUGCAACGGUGGUUUGGCUUUAUUCUUCUUAAAUCAUCUUAAUUCGCAAUCCCACUACGAAAUUAUCUUUUGCGCUGUUCCUCGGCGAGAUCAUGUAUAAAUAUGCUGCAAUCUCUUCCCUGCGAAUCGCGAUAUCUACAUCUCUCUUCUACACAUCUCACUCAUAUUCAUAUUUUUCUGAUCACAUGGAUCUGCUCAUGGUCGAUCUUAACAGAUAUAAAGUCAUACUGAUCUGAUUUAUUACUAUAUGCGAACGGUAUUGUGAUUAUUAUCCUUCAGUCAACUUAUUUGUUUCCAGCUUCCAUUCUUAGGCUCUUUGAGUUAUUGUUAUUUAACUGGAUCGUUUAUGAUUUGCAGGACCCUCCAGCUCCUAUGCCAAAAUAUACAAAUUUGGAUAUAACUAGAGCCUUAGUUGAUGUAAAAAACCAUCUGAUUCUCAUAUAUUACAAAGCGUCAGAGUUAUUUGAAAGACAUUGUUUGAUGCCUUGAUGGUUAUGGUGAACUCAAUAUGACUGCAGCUUAGGACAAGCCGUUGGUGGGGUGUUUAAAAAAAAGUUCAGAGCUCAUCAGUCCAUAAUCUGUAUCACAACUUGCUUAACGGUUGGAUUGUUAUAGAGAUGGUUGUUGGAGGUGAGUAACUAUAUGUUGGAUGGGAGAAGAAGCGAAAAAGCAAGUCAGAGUUUGGAUGGGAGAAGAAUCUUACUGCUACAUUUGUUAGUUUUUUCCUUGAUUUAUCUUUUUACUGAUGGAGAUGGCGUGAACAACUGAAGAAAUUCACAAAAAUUCAUCAGGCUGUCAUUCAAUUGGCUGCAAAAGGAAAAGUUCAAGUACAUGAGGGGAUGUAGAGAACAAUAAAAUCCAACAAUUGGGAGAAGGAACUUUCGAUCAGUAGAAUGAAACCUGAAAGAAACAUGAGGGCACCUUCUUUUUCUUCAUGUGCCUUUGCAGCAUAAUGAUUUAGUGUAGCUUUGUCAACAGAUGUCGUUUUUAAUUUGCGAUGAACUCUAAGUCGAGCGCCGAAGCCAAAAGAAGAUAUAAAUGCUGGUAGUAUUUGUAUUUUUUAAUAACCAACGUUGAUUAAACACUUAAACCUGAGAGGUGCCUGUAAUAUAAAGAUUUUUCAUUGUUAA